rnacentral:rRNA from 1 species
UAACUCUGGGAAACUGGGGAUAAUACUGGAUAUUAGGCUAUGCCUGGAAUGGUUUGCCUUUGAAAUGUUUUUUUUCGCCUAAGGAUAGGUCUGCGGCUGAUUAGGUCGUUGGUGGGGUAAUGGCCCACCAAGCCGACGAUCGGUACGGGUUGUGAGAGCAAGGGCCCGGGGAUGGAACCUGAGACAAGGUUCCAGACCCUACGGGGUGCAGCAGGCGCGAAACCUCCGCAAUGUACGAAAGUGCGACGGGGGGAUCCCAAGUGUUAUGCUUUUUUGUAUGACUUUUCAUUAGUGUAAAAAGCUUUUAGAAUAAGAGCUGGGCAAGACCGGUGCCAGCCGCCGCGGUAACACCGGCAGCUCGAG